UCCUCUGAGGGUUCAUCUCUGC
rnacentral:siRNA from 1 species